GGUUAAAGGGACGAAAGUCUGAUGGAGCUUGCCGCGUGAGUGAAGAAGGGUUUCGGCUCGUAAAACUCUGUUGUUAAAGAAGAACACCUUUGAGAGUAACUGUUCAAGGGUUGACGGUAUUUAACCAGAAAGCCACGGCUAACUACGUGCCAGCAGCCGCGGUAAUACGUAGGUGGCAAGCGUUGUCCGGAUUUAUUGGGCGUAAAGCGAGCGCAGGCGGUUUUUUAAGUCUGAUGUGAAAGCCUUCGGCUUAACCGGAGAAGUGCAUCGGAAACUGGGAGACUUGAGUGCAGAAGAGGACAGUGGAACUCCAUGUGUAGCGGUGGAAUGCGUAGAUAUAUGGAAGAACACCAGUGGCGAAGGCGGCUGUCUAGUCUGUAACUGACGCUGAGGCUCGAAAGCAUGGGUAGCGAACAGGAUUAGAUACCCCCGUAGUCCAUAUU
rnacentral:rRNA from 1 species